rnacentral:tRNA from 2 species
UGCGGGGUCGUCUAAUAGGUAGGACGGCAGACUCUGGAUCUGCUUGUGGGGGUUCGAGUCCCUCCCCCGCAG